GAUGAAGAACGUAGCGAAAUGCGAUACGUAAUGUGAAUUGCAGAAUUCAGUGAAUCAUCGAGUCUUUGAACGCACAUUGCGCCCCCUGGUAUUCCGGGGGGCAUGCCUGUUCGAGCGUCAUUAUAACCACUCAAGCUCUCGCUUGGUAUUGGGGUUCGCGGUUCCGCGGCCCCUAAAAUCAGUGGCGGUGCCUGUCGGCUCUACGCGUAGUAAUACUCCUCGCGAUUGAGUCCGGUAGGUCUACUUGCCAGCAACCCCCAAUUUUUACAGGUUGACCUCGGAUCAGGUAGGGAUACCCGCUGAACUUAAGCAUAUCAAUAAGCGGAGGA
rnacentral:misc_RNA from 1 species